UGGAUUCGCCCUAGAGGUUGGAUCGUGGUUGGAUUUGACGCUGGCGGCAUCUUUUACACGUGAGGUGAAACGGCAGCGGGGUAGUGAAUGCACUGCGCAGGGGAGUGGCGAUCGGGUGAGUAAUAUAUCGGAAGGACCGAGUAAUGGGGGGAUAACCAAAUCGAAAAGAUUGGCUAAUACCGCAUACGUCCUAAGGGAGAAAGCGGGGGAUCGCAAGACCCUCGAGUUAUUCGAGCGGCCGAUAACUGAUUAGCUAGUUGGUGGGGUAAAGGCCUACCAAGGCGACGAUCAGUAGCGGGUCUGAGAGGACGAUCCGCCACACUGGGACUGAGACACGGCCCAGACUCCUACGGGAGGCAGCAGUGGGGAAUUUUGGACAAUGGGGGCAACCCUGAUCCAGCCAUGCCGCGUGUAUGAAGAAGGCCUUCGGGUUGUAAAGUACUUUUGUUAGGGAAGAAAAGGGAAGUGCUAAUACCACUUUUUGCUGACGGUACCUAAAGAAUAAGCACCGGCUAACUACGUGCCAGCAGCCGCGGUAAUACGUAGGGUGCGAGCGUUAAUCGGAAUUACUGGGCGUAAAGCGAGCGCAGACGGUUACUUAAGCAGGAUGUGAAAUCCCCGGGCUUAACCUGGGAACUGCGUUCUGAACUGGGUAGCUAGAGUAUGUCAGAGGGGGGUAGAAUUCCACGUGUAGCAGUGAAAUGCGUAGAGAUGUGGAGGAAUACCGAUGGCGAAGGCAGCCCCCUGGGAUGAUACUGACGUUCAUGCUCGAAAGCGUGGGUAGCAAACAGG
rnacentral:rRNA from 1 species